GUGACGCAGCUAACGCAAUAAGUAGACCGCCUGGGGAGUACGGCCGCAAGGUUAAAACUCAAAUGAAUUGACGGGGCCCGCACAAGCGGUGGAGCAUGUGGUUUAAUUCGAUGCAACGCGAAGAACCUUACCUGGUCUUGACAUAUCUAGAAUCCUGCAGAGAUGCGGGAGUGCCUUCGGGAAUUAGAAUACAGGUGCUGCAUUGCUGUCGUCAGCUCGUGUCGUGAGAUCUUGGCUUAAGUCCCGCAACGAGC
rnacentral:rRNA from 1 species